rnacentral:lncRNA from 1 species
GCGAGCCUCGCCGGACUGGUCAUCAUCAACCAUCACCAAAAUUUCAAACAGGGACAUGAUUUUAAAGAGAAAACAUCACUGAGCAAGAAUAUCACCUCCAUACAGAGCUCCGGUUGUCUUCUCCGGCGAGCCUCGCCGGACUGGUCAUCAUCAACCAUCACCAAAAUUUCAAACAGGGACAUGAUUUUAAAGAGAAAACAUCACUGAGCAAGAAUAUCAC